CAUUAGAUGGCUGAAAGUAAGCAAUGGAAUUUUAAACCAUACUAUAGUAUCUCACACCUACUUCUAAUGG
rnacentral:tRNA from 1 species